rnacentral:miRNA from 1 species
AUCUACAUAUGCAUGUGUGUGUGUGUGUGCAUGUGCAUGUGCAUGUGCAUGUGCGUGCGUGCGUGCGUGCGUGCGUGCGUGCGUGUGUGUGUGUGUGUGUGUGUAUGACUUAGAAUA